CAGUCGCCACGGGAAUACAGAGGGUGCGAGCGUUAAUCGGAUUUACUGGGCGUAAAGCGUGCGUAGGCGGCUUCUUAAGUCGGAUGUGAAAUCCCUGAGCUUAACUUAGGAAUUGCAUUCGAUACUGGGAAGCUAGAGUAUGGGAGAGGAUGGUAGAAUUCCAGGUGUAGCGGUGAAAUGCGUAGAGAUCUGGAGGAAUACCGAUGGCGAAGGCAGCCAUCUGGACAAAGACUGACGCUCAGGUGCGAAAGCGUGGGGAGCAAACAGGAUUAGAUACCCGGGUAGUCCCUGUCUCUUAUAC
rnacentral:rRNA from 1 species